rnacentral:rRNA from 1 species
AACCCCCGCUAAACCUCACCCGCCUUUGCAAAACAGUCUAUAUACCUCCGUCGCCAGCCCGCCUGAAAACAGACACAAAGCGGGUAUAACAACUCAUCGCUAAUACGACAGGUCAAGGUGUAACUAAUAGGUUGGGCAGAGAUGGGCUACAUUUUCUAAAAUUGAACAUACCUACCCCACUAUGAAACUUGUGAUAAAAGGUGGAUUUAGCAGUAAGCAAGGACAAGACAAGCCCAACUGAAACGCGCC